AAAAAUUACUACUUGCGAAGUAAAUAAAGUGACAUAUAUAUAUAUAUAAAAAGAGAGAGAAAGAAAGAGUUUUUUAUAUGUCGCAUCAUCGAAAACAACUUAUAAGUACUGAAGCUUUCGUAUUUUUAAAAACAUAGGAGUCUCUCCCUCUUACAAAUAUUGAAGCCUCCGUACUUAUAAAAACAUGAGAGCCUCUCUCUCUCUCUAGGAGCCUCUCUCUCUCUUUUCUUAGUUUUUAUUCCAUUCUUCCUCUCUUUAUCCAAAUUAUAUCUUACAAUACAAAUCUCUUAUAGAUUUUUAGCUUUUAUGUUAAUUAUUGACCAGUACUAAAAACCACAUUAAUUUAUGUUUUAUACUUUACCAUACUCUCAAAUAGGCUCAAAAUUAUAAAAUAACUAAUUGUUAACCCGGGUGUUGCAUACGGAUGUUCACUACAACAGAAUUAGAUUAUAGGGACACAUGUUUGGAACACUUUUGAGUAAGUGUCUUAUUUAUGCUAAAACUUAAAAAAAUAUCUACUUAUGCCUAAAUAUAAAGCCCAAUCCAACCAAAAAUAAAAGAUUACUCUACUCAACCCACCACACUCAGUCCAUUUGACCCGAUUACAAACAGAAAAGAAAAAAAAAGAAAAAGAAAAAUCAACUACCAUCUUUUCUUCUCUCUUCACUCAAUCCACUGAAAUUCUAGACGAAGAGCUUUUCCUAUCGUCCUUCUCCCCCACCGCAGCCAACGAGAUAGAGUUUCGGCGGUUGCUAAAUGCUUAAAUAAGUGUUGGUAAAUUAGCAGCACUCUUUUAGCUUAUAGCGACACUCUUUAACUGUCACUAUAUACCUAGCGACCCCACAUAUAGCAACACUUUUUAAAAGUGUCGGUAAUUUUAGCUAGCAGCACUUCUUUGACAUGUACCUACAUUUAAAAGUAUCGCUAUAAACCGUUUUUGUUGAAGUGGUUUUACAAUUUUAUUUUUAAGAAAAAUACAUAAAGUUAAUUUUCAAGGGGGAAAAGUUAGUUUUUACAAAUUUUAAAUAAAAAUUUGGUUUUGCAAAAUUUUAUAACAUAAAACUUACAGCAUACAAAAAUUAAAAUUUUUAGUUUAUAGAAAACAAUUUUGCUGAAAUUUCAAUAAUUAUAAGUUUUGAAAAAUUACAACUUGCUUGUAUACUAAUUAGGGGUGGAAAUGAGCCAACCUUAAGCGAGCUUACCUCAGCUUAAGCUUAGCUUGAAAUUAAUUUCGAACCUAAAAUUUAAACUCAAGCUUGGCUUGAAACUCGAGCUAAGAGCUCGAGCAAACGUAACUUCGAGUAGAGUGAGCUCGAACCCUAAUGAGCCACUUGAAAUUCUUAACAUCAUACAAUCUAUAAUUUAAUUUUUAUAAAAUAUUAUCUAAAAUUUGAUAUAAAAAAUUUCUAAUAAUUCAACAUUAAAAAUGAGUGCAUAAAAUACGAUAUUAAUGUUUAAAAAAAUAGGGAAAGUGACUAUGCGGGCAAGUGAAAAAAGAAAGAAAGCAAUUAAAGUAAGAUUUUACUGGUUGGUUUUGUGGGCUUAAAACCUAAAUUUUGUAUACAUAUAAUUAAAAUAUAUAAUAUAUAUUAUGAUAUAUAAUCAAAAUAUAUAUUAUAUAUAAUUAUAUAUAGAGAGAGUCUGGGUACUAUACUCUUAUAACUAUAGACCUCUUUAUACUCAUAAGUUUUCGACUAUUAGAACUAUCUCUCUUAUCAUUUACAUCCGUUAAAUCAUACUAUUCAACUAACUACCCACUCAACCCUGAAGGACUACUAUCAUAGUAACCACAUAUCUCUUCAUCCAACAAUUGAAAACUUAUACCGACCGUCCCUAGAGCAAGUGGCAAAGGGCUUGGCGGUUGGUACCCGAGACCCAAGUUGGUUGGUACCCGAGACCCAAGUUCGAAUCCUAGUUGAUUCACAUUUUCAGCUAAGUUUAUUUCUAAAAUGAAAUAAACAAAGCGGGUAGCGUGAUACCCAUCUCUCAAAAAAAAAAAAAAAAAAACAAUUGAAAACUUAUAAAUGUAAAAGAUCUAUACCUAUAAGAAUAUAGUAGUCUAGCCUAUAUAUAUAUAGAGUUAAAUACAUUCAUGUCUCUGCAAACAUAGUGAAUUACAAAUAUAUUCUUAUAAAGAUCAACUUUUAUAUGUUGUUCCUGCAAAAAUUCUAAUAUUUUCAAAUUCGUUCCUCUGGUUUGUUACNUUUG
rnacentral:lncRNA from 1 species